rnacentral:rRNA from 1 species
AUGAGUUGCAUCAGCUGGAACUGCCGGGGGCUUGGGAACCCCGAGGCAGUUCGAGAGCUUCGCAACAUUGUGAAGUAAGAAGGGCCCACUCUGCUUUUUGUCAUGGAGACGAAGAUUAGAGGGAAAAGAGUUGAGCUACUUCAGAAUAAUCUUGGUUUUGAUGGAUGUUUUGCUAUAGACAGUGUCGGCGUUAGUGGGGGCAUUGGUCUUUUUUGGUCUCGUGGUGUUAUAGUGGAACUAAAAACUUAUAGCUCGAGCCACAUAGAUGUUUUAGUACGAUCUAAAGAACAGAACUCCAGGGUAUGA